ensembl:rRNA 5S_rRNA 5S ribosomal RNA
CCUUGGGCUGUCAUCCCAUUGAUUUCUCGAGAUAAGCAAUGUUCACCCCGGUCAAUACUUGGACGGGACACCACUGAGGGAAACCUGGAGUGCUGAGGGA